GAUGAACGCUAGCUACAGGCUUAACACAUGCAAGUCGAGGGACCGUCGCACGGGUGAGUCACACGUAUCCAUCCUGCCCUUUACUCGGGGAUAGCCUUUCGAAAGAACGAUUAAUACCCGAUAUAAUGGAUGGGGAUGCGUUCCAUUAAGUUGUUGGUGAGGUAACGGCUCACCAAGCCUUCGAUGGGUAGGGGUGCUGUGGGGAAGGUACCCCAGAUUGGAAGUGCGACACGGUCCAAACUCCUACGGGAGGCAGGAGUGAGGAAGAGUGGUCAAUGGGCGUGGGCCUGAACCAGCCAAGUAGCGUGAAGGAUGAAGGCAUAGGGGUCGUAAACUGCUGUUAAAUAAGGAUAAGUAUUAUAAGAAUAAGGAUCGGCUCACUCCGUGCCAGCAGCCGCGGUAAUUC
rnacentral:rRNA from 1 species